rnacentral:rRNA from 1 species
UUAAAUUGAAGAGUUUGAUCAUGGCUCAGAUUGAACGCUGGCGGCAGGCCUAACACAUGCAAGUCGAACGGUAACAGGAAGCAGCUUGCUGCUUCGCUGACGAGUGGCGGACGGGUGAGUAAUGUCUGGGAAACUGCCUGAUGGAGGGGGAUAACUACUGGAAACGGUAGCUAAUACCGCAUAACGUCGCAAGACCAAAGAGGGGGACCUUAGGGCCUCUUGCCAUCGGAUGUGCCCAGAUGGGAUUAGCUAGUAGGUGGGGUAACGGCUCACCUAGGCGACGAUCCCUAGCUGGUCUGAGAGGAUGACCAGCCACACUGGAACUGAGACACGGUCCAGACUCCUACGGGAGGCAGCAGUGGGGAAUAUUGCACAAUGGGCGCAAGCCUGAUGCAGCCAUGCCGCGUGUAUGAAGAAGGCCUUCGGGUUGUAAAGUACUUUCAGCGGGGAGGAAGGCGAUAAGGUUAAUAACCUUGUCGAUUGACGUUACCCGCAGAAGAAGCACCGGCUAACUCCGUGCCAGCAGCCGCGGUAAUACGGAGGGUGCAAGCGUUAAUCGGAAUUACUGGGCGUAAAGCGCACGCAGGCGGUCUGUCAAGUCGGAUGUGAAAUCCCCGGGCUCAACCUGGGAACUGCAUUCGAAACUGGCAGGCUAGAGUCUUGUAGAGGGGGGUAGAAUUCCAGGUGUAGCGGUGAAAUGCGUAGAGAUCUGGAGGAAUACCGGUGGCGAAGGCGGCCCCCUGGACAAAGACUGACGCUCAGGUGCGAAAGCGUGGGGAGCAAACAGGAUUAGAUACCCUGGUAGUCCACGCCGUAAACGAUGUCGACUUGGAGGUUGUGCCCUUGAGGCGUGGCUUCCGGAGCUAACGCGUUAAGUCGACCGCCUGGGGAGUACGGCCGCAAGGUUAAAACUCAAAUGAAUUGACGGGGGCCCGCACAAGCGGUGGAGCAUGUGGUUUAAUUCGAUGCAACGCGAAGAACCUUACCUACUCUUGACAUCCAGAGAACUUUCCAGAGAUGGAUUGGUGCCUUCGGGAACUCUGAGACAGGUGCUGCAUGGCUGUCGUCAGCUCGUGUUGUGAAAUGUUGGGUUAAGUCCCGCAACGAGCGCAACCCUUAUCCUUUGUUGCCAGCGGUCCGGCCGGGAACUCAAAGGAGACUGCCAGUGAUAAACUGGAGGAAGGUGGGGAUGACGUCAAGUCAUCAUGGCCCUUACGAGUAGGGCUACACACGUGCUACAAUGGCGCAUACAAAGAGAAGCGACCUCGCGAGAGCAAGCGGACCUCAUAAAGUGCGUCGUAGUCCGGAUUGGAGUCUGCAACUCGACUCCAUGAAGUCGGAAUCGCUAGUAAUCGUGGAUCAGAAUGCCACGGUGAAUACGUUCCCGGGCCUUGUACACACCGCCCGUCACACCAUGGGAGUGGGUUGCAAAAGAAGUAGGUAGCUUAACCUUCGGGAGGGCGCUUACCACUUUGUGAUUCAUGACUGGGGUGAAGUCGUAACAAGGUAACCGUAGGGGAACCUGCGGUUGGAUCACCUCCUUACCUUAAAGAA